GAUGAACGCUGGCGGCGUGCCUAACACAUGCAAGUCGAACGAAGCACCUUUUGAGAUUCUUCGGAUGAUCGCUCGGUGACUGAGUGGCGGACGGGUGAGUAACGCGUGGGUAACCUGCCCUGUACAGGGGGAUAACAGCUGGAAACGGCUGCUAAUACCGCAUAAGCGCACGAGGAGACAUCUCCUAGUGUGAAAAACUCCGGUGGUACAGGAUGGGCCCGCGUCUGAUUAGCUGGUUGGCAGGGUAACGGCCUACCAAGGCAACGAUCAGUAGCCGGUCUGAGAGGAUGAACGGCCACAUUGGAACUGAGACACGGUCCAAACUCCUACGGGAGGCAGCAGUGGGGAAUAUUGCACAAUGGGGGAAACCCUGAUGCAGCAACGCCGCGUGAGUGAAGAAGUAUUUCGGUAUGUAAAGCUCUAUCAGCAGGGAAGAUAAUGACGGUACCUGACUAAGAAGCUCCGGCUAAAUACGUGCCAGCAGCCGCGGUAAUACGUAUGGAGCAAGCGUUAUCCGGAUUUACUGGGUGUAAAGGGUGCGUAGGUGGCAGUGCAAGUCAGAUGUGAAAGGCCGGGGCUCAACCCCGGAGCUGCAUUUGAAACUGCUCGGCUAGAGUACAGGAGAGGCAGGCGGAAUUCCUAGUGUAGCGGUGAAAUGCGUAGAUAUUAGGAGGAACACCAGUGGCGAAGG
rnacentral:rRNA from 1 species